ACUCGCGUCAUCGAGCCGCCUGAAGAGCAAAGUCAUUUAGAGUGCCAAUCCACAAAAGCCCUCCUGCCUCCCUCCCUCGGGAAGGAAACCGACUGAUGCAAGCGCGCUCGCGACCUCGCCCCUCCGCUGCCUGACCCCUCCGCGGUUUUUAGAGGGCGCAGCGUGUACAACAAGCGCAUAAUAACUCGAACAAAAGGCAGGAGCUUUCAAGCCUCUCUGCUUCCCUCUGCGGGUUGAAAUUGCAGGAGCCAAACUCCGGAAUCUCUCUAAUAAUAACUAUAAUGCUGAGGCUAGAAGAUCCUCUGACAUUAGCGAAGGAUCAGCCAGCGAUGGUAAACCAGCCUGCUACCUAAUAUUUUAUCUAUUUUAUUGCACGCCGCGUGGAGUCAUGUAAGGGAGAGAUGGGAGGCUAUAUACAUCCAAUAAAUAAGGUCCCCUCCUCAGCAUUCUUUAUCUUCCACCCCUCUCCCUUCCUCUAAUUUAUUCUAUUUUAUAAUUUUUGUAUCACCAAGUAACAUUCCUGCCUUCAGGAGCAUUGGAUCCUUAAGACUAAGGGUAACAUUCAUUACCUAGUGGCGUUAUUAAUACAGACUGAUUCUAUAAAAUUUUAGAUUGUCAAGAAAGAAAAGGUGGAUGCAGGAAGGGUAGUCCUUGACUUACGACCUUAAUUGAGCCACAAAGUUAUGUUGCUAAGUAAGACGGUUGCUAAGUGAAGUUUCAUUCCAAUUUAUGAUCUUUCUUGCCACAGUUAAAUGAAUUGCUGCAGUUGUUAAGUGAAUCGUUCGGUCAUUAACAAAUCUGAGUUCCCCCAUUGACUUUGCUUGUCAGAAGUCAGCUGGGAAGCUUACAAAUGGUGAUCACAUGACCCCGGGAGACAGCAAAUAUCAUAAAAACAUACCAGUUGCCAAGUGCCCGUGCACAUGGCGAUGGUCCAAAAGUCUGAAAACCAAAUCACUUUUUUCAGUGGUGUUGUAACUUUGAACAGUCAUUAAAUGAUUAAAUGAUUGGCUAUAAGUCUAGGGCUACCUGUAGUUACUUUCACAAGACUGGAGCUUUAAAAUUAAUGAUGGGCAGUCUUCAUUAUGCCUUCUGGGUGCUCAGUCUGAACAAUAUAAAGCUGCUGCACAAUGUGGAGUUUUGUUCUACUAAAGGUGUACUAGAGUUCAAAGCGGAUUGUUUUCUAAAAGCAUCACAGGACAUUCUGGUUUGGACCUGCGUAUAAAAGUCACAUUGCCCUUUUUUAGGCAAAAGAAGAAGAAGAGGUGCAUAUGUGUCAGGAUUGACUGGCUAAACUCUCUGUGCAAGAAGCCUCAAUACUUGUCUUUGGAAAGGCAGAAUCCCUCCAGGUGCUGGAAAUAUUUGGAAGUCUCACUGCUUCACUGGAAGAUAGGAACAUGGGAGCCAGGAGGUCAUAAAAUAAGAGGGAAAAAAGGCGACCUAUUACUAUUUGUAAAGAAGAAGACAACUUGAUUCUCUACCCACCAACUCCAGUACUUUGAGGAAUAUGAUUCACGAUCAGGCUUCUUGAUAGUCACUUAAAACUACUCCAGGGAGAGUGGUUUGAAUCACAGAUGGGGAAUAGGAUUAACUCUUUUUCUAAAUUUAAAAGCCUCUCCCUGUUCUGUAAUGAUGCUGUAAUUAACCCACAAGGAAGGGGCUGAGAAGAAUCCAUUUCCCCCCCCCCUCUGUCUUAUGGUUAAUUAUAGUUGAAGAAACUGCUGUUCUUACCACAGGGUGACAUUAAUCCAAAUUAACUCUUUUCCUGUGGCUACGUUUUACUAAAAGGAAAAGUCUUAGAGAAAUUUGAAAUCAAACCGCAUCGCCUUCCCUUUUCUUUUAAAAAAAAAAUUAAGUUCGCCUUCAGUUCUCCUAGAUACAGCAAACCUCAAAUGUAAAGAAAAGAUUUUUGUUCUUCUUUUUUAAAAAAGUGCUGCUAUAUACUUUUACAUUCUGUUAGGAACAUUUAAGAUAUUUACUAUUCCAGAUCUAAUUGCAACUAAAUGUUUACUGGGAAGAUGAAUGAAAAUGUAAUAUGUAGCAUGAAUUAGCUUAGAUGUUUUACAAUUAUUAAUGACAAUGUUUUCUAAUAAAAAUUAAGGAUGUUUUCAGACAAAAUA